rnacentral:lncRNA from 1 species
CUAUGAGACAGCUAUUAUUAACUCAGUGAGUCAUGAGGCACUGAGGUAGUGUGACAAGGCUUGCAUAAAAACCUGGUUUGAUUUGUGGUGACUGCUUAGUCCCUGCUGUGAAAUUCUUCACCGACUGUGCACACAACUUCAUCACCAUAAUCUGGCACUGAUUGCAGCAACCAUAUGGAGCACAGCAAUAAGGAAAGGAGACAUUUUGACCAGAGAGAUGAGAGCACUCCUUCCUCUCUGCUCAAAGAUAAAAUGGGAUAAUCACUGUCCCUGCAGAGCAGAGCCUGCAACUACUGGACCAGAGCAGCUUCUUUUUCCCAGUGCUUACGGCAGCGCAGCACCCUCAUAGGUGUCAGGAAAAGCAGAAAGAUGGCUCUCUCUUGGCCCACCAAAAGCAGAAGAGGCAGAGAAGAAGAUUCAACACCAACUGGACAUUUUCCCAGUGCCAUUCAGCGCUGGCUGGUGAUCUACAGGAGUCAGAACAGGGCUGAGAGGUUUCUGGAGAGACCUGAUGGGGUAGGAGCCUCUCAUGCUCAUGCAAGGAUCCAGGAGAACACAGCACGGGUGGACUUGGAGGAGCGGGCUAAGAAGUGGCUUGGGAGGAGAUACCUGAAGAGGUGGCAGCACACAGUGGAGCUGCACCGGUGCCAGCACGACAGGAAACUGCUGUGCCUGGCAAGGGGGUGGCACCAGUGGAGGGAAGGCAGCAGGGUGGUGAUACUGGCUCAGGUGCUGCACCAGCAGCAGCUGAUGGAGAAGGCCUGGAGGGUGUGGAGACAAAGAUACUUGCAAAGCUGUGUGGUGCAGAAUCUUCUGGAGCAGGAAGCCAGGAGCCUCCUGUCUCAGGCCUUUGGGAGGUGGUGGCAGCUCACAGCAUUCCAGUGUAAGGACAAAGGAUCCCGCUGAAUGCAGGGGCUGCCUGCAGCUGCUGCUCCAUUCAGGACACGUGGAGGAUCCAGCUCCUGUCACAACAAAGAGGUGGUCCUGUGCUGCCAAAAAAGAACUCUCUGCUCUUACAAUAAAAGCAGGGCUGCCACUCGGAUGACA